GCGGCUCGGAGCCCAGGCGUAGCUGUGGCCAUCGGGAGCCGCCGCCUGUCUGCCCAAGGACUCGGUCCGCCUGAGACCUGAGGCGGGGGCGGGGAGGCCCCGAGGGACCUGCGCCGUCUCGCCUGCGGCCGGCGGGCCAGAAGGUGCGCUUCAGAAGUAGGCGGGGAGGAUCAGAGGGACAGGGUGUGAAGGAAGCCGUUCCCGCGUGUCCCACGGCUCGAGCUGGGGCUGCCGACUCUCCUCCGGCUCAGAGCCCCCAGGCUUCCUCCCGGCCGCCGCGGCGCGCACUCAGCACGAACUGUGCAUUACGGUCCCGAAGCGCUUUAAAGUGCACGGUCCGCCAGCUUUGCCUACUGAUCUUCGAGCCACCCUUUGAAGGAAGCAAUUGCAGAUUUGGACUGCCCUUCCCUGGCCCAGCUCUGCAGCCACCCACAGUUCUUUCUCAUGACGAGGACGUCCCCACACUCGUCCUCAGAUGGCAGGAAGAUCUCAGCCUGGUUUGCCACGUACUCUUGCACUGGGCCACACUGGUGGAGCCAUCAAAGUCAGUACUUGUGUUUCCUGGACAGCGGGUGCAGAAGUUCUGUCGGAAGUCAGGCUGAUAGGAGCCCAUGGCGCAGCGGAUACAGCGAUGGAUGCUGAAGAGUAAAGGAGGAUCAGAGAGGAAAGCAGCUCGCCUGAGGUCAUACAGAUAGAGAGUGGCAGAGCCAGGAUUCAAACUCAGAUGUUCCACUGGAUGAGAAGAGGCCACCCUGAGGGCAGAGCUGGGGAGCUAAGCAAGUAGAGGACAGGGGGACAUCUGAACCUGGCUCACCUAGGUGAAGACUUGCCUCCCUUUCCCUCACCUGUGGAAAUAGGGCAGAGGAAAUCAUCAAAGGAGCCAGGGGAAGAGGAACAGUGAUGAAGGUACCAUGUUCUUGUCAGCUGGGAACCCACUACUACAUUUUAAGAUCCAGCUUAAACGAUACCGUGUCUGUGAAGUCUUCUUAUUGCCCAGCAAACUUGGAGCUCAGUGGUCUUUGAAACCUAUCCCAGUGAUGGCCCUGGCCAGGUUGUACUGUAAUAGUCUGCUUAUCUUCCACUAGUCUGUCAAACCUUUGAGGGCAAUACCCAUUUGGGUCACUACUAUAUCCCCAAUCCCAAGCAUAUUUCUGGCACAUAGUUGUGCUCAAUGAGUGUUUGUUGCAUGACUGAAAGAAUCAAGGAAUGGUGAGUUCAUGCAAACCCCAAGGAGAAGUAAAGCAUUCCCUGACCUUGUCUCCCCACCUCCCACCAGUCUGAGGGUGCUUCGGGUUGCCCAAAGACUAAGGGAAGCAGAGGUUGUGGAAUGGAGGGCAGUGUGGAAACCCUAAGCUGGAGAAAGACCAUGGAGAUGCAGGGGACCUGGGGGGACUCUGGCCAGACACUCUCGGAUUCUGGAAGACAAAGAUGCAUAGCUGGAAUCUUCCAAGCCAGAGCUCAGGAUCUCCCCAAAGGUCUAGAAAAUUGGGUGAUGGCACCCUGGAUAAAGAGCCAGAGGCAGGAGACUGGGUGAGAAGCAGCUUGAGUGAGCAAAGGCCUGGGCCAGGGUACGUGGAGAGGGGUCUACAGGCAGCUCCCAUCUGAACUCUGAGGAGGCAGACCCAGGAGGCAGAACCCUGACUGAGGCCACUUGAAAGUCCCUGGGGGCUUCUCUGCCACCUCAUCAAAGAUCUUUCCUAUUGAUGCUUAAAAUGCCAUCAUUAGAGAGUCACUUCUUUGAGCUAAACCUUAUGUUCUUUGGCCCCAAAUACCAAUAUCCCCAUGAGAGAGGAUGACAGGAUUAAGACUUUGCCAGUUAAAACUUCAGUUAUCAGUUGACGCCUUAACAAAUGUGUUCUGAGUGGCAGAGGAGGGGGCUGUAGGAACUUUCAUAAUGAACUUCCAAACUUUGCUGAGAGCUGGGUUGGCUUCCCUCCCCCAUCCCUGCUGGGCUCCCUCCCCAGAGGAGAAGACGCAGAGGUGGAGAAGGACUUCUCCAUCCACCAAUACCAUUCUUAUGGGUGUCCCAGAUUAAAGAAAGAAUCAGUGGAGGUAUUGGACAAAGUUCAAUGUAUUCAAGAACCAGAUUCAAGUAGACUGUAGAGUGAAUUGCUGUAAAACAAAGCUUACGAUAGCAUCUAAAGACCCAAUAACAUCUAUUAUAUUUUCAGAAAAGGGCUCCCACAGGACUGAAAAUCCUUCUGAAAGAAGCUGAAAACCUGUAGCAAAAAAGGGGUCAUUGGAAUGUUUGCCAGUUAUGUACUUGUGCUAGGCGUUGAUAUCUUUACAAAACUUUGCCUGCAUUUUUUGGCACGAAGAUCUCCCUUCUUCGCAUCACCUUUCCUCCUCUGAGCUGACUUGGCAGAACUAAGGAACAUCACAGUCAGGCUGAGAUCCCUUGGUCCCCUGUUCUGGUCCUGCAAAAUUCAGUCUGCAGGAAGCUGCAGUGUGCUGGAGAACAAGCUCUUCCCAGGGGCCCUGACCCUGACCCACCGAUGUUCCACCCCUUGAUCAGCCUAAGGGCUACUGAAGAGGGAGGGUAACUCAUUCUAAUCCUCUUCUGCCUUUGCGCUUUGCCUCCAGUCCUGGGUCCAACGCUGCUGGGGUGGAUUGGACCAAGCUGUAAUGCCGCCCUUCACCAGUAGGUGCCGCCAUCUAACAUACCAUCCCCUAGCAGCCCUUGGCGAAGUCCUGAAGUCAGACUUCGGGGAGCCUACUCAAGGAAUACAGUGCCGCAAACAAGUUUGCAAAUAAAAUUAUUGCAAACGAGAUUCGCUCACACUGGUGAAGUUAAUAUGUAAAAUUAAUUGUAUGUGUGUUUCUUUAUAACCGUAGACUCAACG